GCCCCGGUAGUUCAAAGGAUAGAAUAAGAUCCUACUAAGAUCGAAAUGCCAGUUCAAGUCUGGCCCGGGGCA
rnacentral:tRNA from 1 species